AAUAAAUUAAUCUCAAACCAAAUUCUCAAAUCUCUUUACGUGAACAACCCAGUUUUGUCGUCGACAUCCCUUGCUCCUCUCUUUGAUAUUUUAUUUAUUCUAUUCUUAAUCCUUCUCAUUUACCAUCUUUUUCCAUUUUUAUUUUAUUUCCUUAAUUCAUCUCCUCUGUUAAGCUCCCUAUGAAACCGUAACUUUCCUCAAUUUCGGGCUCAGACUAUCGUUUUAUUUUGGUCAAGAUUGCUACGUAUAUCUCAGAGUGAUUGUUCAUUUGGAAAGAAUACCAUGAAGAUUUGAAUAAAUUGUUUUGAAUGAAUCUGGACAAGUUAUGAGGUAUUUUAGCCUCUCUCACUUGGUCGUUCAAUCUUGAACUGCAAAUGGCAAAACCUUUGUUCCGCUUUAGGGUCUGUUAAAUUGAUUUUCCGGAAUCAAAAAACUAGACAACCCUUUAACACCAUUUUUUCCAGAAUCAAAACUCUCGUCCCUUUCCUUUGCUAAUAUUUUUCCGACUUGCAAAACAAAAUCAAUUACUACUAUUUUUUCCAUAUCUGCUUUAUACUUUAUUCACUCGUGUUUCUCAAUUGCUGGUCUUUUCCAUCGCUCUAGCUUUCUUGUUUUUUUUUUGCGAUUUGUUGGCUGGAAGUCAAAGUAGUGUUUGAUUGAAAUGCAUGCCACGUUAAUUACCAGAAGCUGAGUCCAUGCAUGGUUCCCAAUAUUGUGAAGUUCUUCGAAAGUUUGUCACUGGACAUUUCACAUAGAUGUAGUUUCGAAGUGCCAUAGCAUGAUGCUUCAUAAGAAUCAGGUACCAGCCAUUCAAAUGCUACGUUCAAGAAUUAUAAGCUCUCAAGUACAGAUAUGUGUUGUUCAUCAUAAACGAAUCUGCAAAGGUUUCUGCUGUCUUGAGGGCACUCUCUCCUUUGGAGAAUUGCAGUUCUACUCAGGUGCAAGAACUGAUCUGUAGGAACAGUCUUUAUUCGAUCACCACUGUGUUAUUAUAAGCAGGUGUGCUGAAUCAAAUCGAUCCAGCACUGCAAGAAUCAAAUCGAUCCAGCACUACUCCAUUGGUCUCCAAUUAAAUGUAGCUGAUAUUAUUCUUUGAUGUGUAGAUUGUACCUUUGAUGCUGGUUUUUGGAGAUUUAUUGUACAAAAAUUUAAAUCCACCAUUAACGGACCUUGAAGUUUGAAACUCAUAACUUGGUUUGUUUGA